GGGACCGUAGCUCAGCUGGGAGAGUGCCUGCCUUACAAGCAGGAUGUCACAGGUUCAAGUCCUUAUUGCCG
rnacentral:tRNA from 1 species